GACAGAGGGCGCAAACGUUGCUCGGAAUCACUGGGCGUAAAGGGCGUGUAGGCGGGCAUGUAAGUCGGGCGUGAAAUCCCUAGGCUCAACCUAGGAACUGCACUCGAAACUGCGUUUCUUGAGUAUCGGAGAGGAAAGCGGAAUACCUGGUGUAGAGGUGAAAUUCGUAGAUAUCAGGUGGAACACCAGUGGCGAAGGCGGCUUUCUGGACGAUAACUGACGCUGAGACGCGAAAGCGUGGGGAGCAAACAGG
rnacentral:rRNA from 1 species